rnacentral:lncRNA from 1 species
UGAAAAUCAAUAAUAAAAAUAAAUAUAAAUGUCUUCUUCCUCCUUCAUAUUCCUCCACUUAGAUGCAAAGUGUCAAAUCUAAAAGUGUCUGUGAAAUACAUAGAUAGCUUUAUUCGCGUCCUUUCAUAUUAGGAUAUGCAAAGUGGUUCCUCAUGGUGCUCACUUCAGUAGCAUAUAUACUAAAAUUAUAAUAAUACCCAGAAGAUUAGUAUGGCCCUUGUGCAAGGAUGACACACAAAUUUGUAAAGCAUUCCAUAUUACCAUAUUUUACCCCCCAAAAUUACAAAGUGACACAAGGAAACAUUUGCAGGUGCUGAAUAUGUUUAUUACUUAGACUGUGGUGAUGUUAUUAUGAGUAUUUGCAUAUAUUCAAAUUCAUAAAAUUGUGAAAAAUAAGUAUAUGCAACUUUUUGUAUUUCAAUUAUGCCUCAGUAAAGCUGUAAAUGUAAAAAUGUGCUUCCUCAGGCCGGGCAUGAUGGAUCACGCCUGUAAUCCCAGCACUUUGGGAGGCCGAGAUGGGUGGAUCACCUGAGGUCAGGAGUUCGAGACUAGCCUGGCUAACAUGGUGAAACCCCCUUUCUACUAAAAACAAUACAAAAAAAUAGCCAGGCAUGGUGGCACGUGCCUGUAAUCCCAGCUACUUGGGAGGCUGAGGCAGGAGAAUCAGUUGAACCCA